AAGGAUCAUUAAAAAUUUUACUAAUUACACGUUUAGGUAUAACCAACUAACACAACUUAAUUAUGUCAACAAGCUAAAAUCAAAACUUUCAACAACGGAUCUCUUGGUUCUCGCAUCGAUGAAGAACGCAGCGAAAUGCGAUACGUAAUAUGAAUUGCAGAUUUUCGUGAAUCAUCGAAUCUUUGAACGCACAUUGCACCUUGUGGUAUUCCACAAGGUAUGCCUGUUUGAGCGUCAUUUCUCCCUCAAACCCCCGGGUUUGGCGCUGAGUGGCACUCUCCGGUCCACUUGAAAUACAUUUCGUACGACUAGUGUUCUAAUACAUUCGCUAGUGUGAAAGUAACUCAAAAGAUCGACCUCAAAUCAGGUAGGACUACCCGCUGAACUUAAGCAUAUC
rnacentral:misc_RNA from 1 species